rnacentral:rRNA from 1 species
AGGUAAUGGCUUACCAAGGCAGCGACGCGUAGCGGGACUGAGAGGUUGACCCGCCAUAUCGGGACUGAGACACUGCCCGGACCUCCACGGAGGGCUGCAGUAACGAAUCUUGCGCAAUGGGCGAAAGCCUGACGCAGCGACGCUGCGUGUGGGAUGAAGCCUUUCGGGGUGUAAACCACUGUUAGGGUGAAGAAAGGUAUGCUUCGGUAUAUUUGAUCGAUCCCAGAGGAAGGCCCGGCUAACUUCGUGCCAGCAGCCGCGGUAAGACGAAGGGGCCAAGCGUUGUUCAGAAUCACUGGGCUUAAAGAGCAUGUAGGCGGAAAGGAAAGUGUCUUGUGAAAUCCCUCGGCUCAACCGGGGAAUUGCAGGGCAUACUGCCUUUCUUGAGGCAAGUAGGAGUACAUGGAACUCUGGGUGGAGCGGUGAAAUGCGUAGAUAUCCAGAGGAACGCCAGCGGUGAAAACGGUGUACUAGGCUUGAUCUGACGCUGAGAUGCGAAAGCGUGGGGAGCGAACGGGAUUAGAUACCCCGGUAGUCCACGCCGUAAACGAUGUCUACUAGGUCACGGAGAUUCUGACAUCAUCGUGGCCGAAGCAAAAGUAUUAAGUAGACCGCCUGGGGAGUACGGUCGCAAGGCUAAAACUCAAAGGAAUUGACGGGGGCUCACACAAGCGGUGGAGCAUGUGGCUUAAUUCGAAACAACGCGAAGAACCUUAUCCUGGGUUUGACAUGUACAGAUACCCUUCCUGAAAGGGAAGUAAGUUGCCUUCGGGUGAAAUGUACACAGGUGCUGCAUGGCUGUCGUCAGCUCGUGUCGUGAGAUGUCGGGUUAAGUCCCUUAACGAGCGAAACCCUUGUCGUUAGUUGCCAGCGCGUAAUGGCGGGAACUCUAACGAGACUGCCGGUGUUAAACCGGAGGAAGGUGGGGAUGACGUCAAGUCCUCAUGGCCUUUAUGCCCAGGGCUGCACACGUGCUACAAUGGCGGCGACAAACCGACGCAAUACCGCGAGGUGGAGCAAAUCGGAAAAACGCCGCCCCAGUUCGGAUUGUAGGCUGCAACUCGCCUACAUGAAGUCGGAAUCGCUAGUAAUCGCAGAUCAGCAUGCUGCGGUGAAUAAGUUCCUGAGCCUUGUACACACCGCCCGUCAAGUCAUGGGAGCCGGGAGUACCUGAAGUCGGGUAGCUAACUUUUUAUUAAGAGGCGCCUGCCGAUGGUAAGUUCGGUGACUGGGGCUAAGUCGUAACAAGGUA